rnacentral:rRNA from 1 species
UACGUAGGGUGCGAGCGUUGUCCGGAAUUAUUGGGCGUAAAGGGCUCGUAGGCGGUUUGUCACGUCGGGAGUGAAAACUCGGGGCUCAACCCCGAGCCUGCUUCCGAUACGGGCAGACUAGAGGUAUGCAGGGGAGAAUGGAAUUCCUGGUGUAGCGGUGAAAUGCGCAGAUAUCAGGAGGAACACCGGUGGCGAAGGCGGAUCUCUGGGCCAUUACUGACGCUGAGGAGCGAAAGCGUGGGGAGCGAACAGG